UAGGGAAUCUUCGGCAAUGGGGGGAACCCUGACCGAGCAACGCCGCGUGAGUGAAGAAGGUUUUCGGAUCGUAAAGCUCUGUUGUUAAGGAAGAACGAGUGUGAGAAUGGAAAGUUCAUGCUGUGACGGUACUUAACCAGAAAGGGACGGCUAACUACGUGCCAGCAGCCGCGGUAAUACGUAGGUCCCGAGCGUUGUCCGGAUUUAUUGGGCGUAAAGCGAGCGCAGGCGGUUAGAAAAGUCUGAAGUGAAAGGCAGUGGCUCAACCAUUGUAGGCUUUGGAAACUGGUUGAGUUGAGUGCAGAAGAGGAGAGUGGAAUUCCAUGUGUAGAGGUGAAAUGCGUAGAUAUAUGGAGGAACACCAGUGGCGAAGGCGACUCUCUGGUCUGUAACUGACGCUGAGGCUCGAAAGCGUGGGUAGCAAACAGG
rnacentral:rRNA from 1 species